rnacentral:pre_miRNA from 1 species
CCAAGUGCUCAGAUGCUUGUGGUGGCUGCUUAUGCACCACGAAUGCUUGAGCAUGUGCU